rnacentral:rRNA from 1 species
AAAAAUCUAUAUGAAAAAAUUAUAUAUAUAAAUAAAUUUUUAUGAUUUAUGAAAUUUAAUUUAAAUUUAUUUUACAUGUAAAUUUUAGUGUUAAUUUUUAAUUAUUUUAAUAAUAAUUAUUAAUAUUUACAGUAAUUAAAAUUAAAAAUUUAAGAAAUUAAGAUUUAGUAAUAUUUAAUUUUAUUAACAAAUUUUGUGCCAGCAGUUGCGGUUAUACAAAAAAUAAUUUAAAUUUUAUCAGUAUAUAAUUAAUAAGCAUUAUUAUUAAAUUAAAUAUUAAAUUAUUAAGUGAAAUUUUAAUUUAAUUAAAAUUUAUAUUAAUUUUAUGAUUUAUUAAAUUUUAUAAAAAACUAGGAUUAGAUACCCUAUUAUUAAAAAUUAAAUUUAUGAUACUAAAAUAGUAGAUAAUAAUUUAUUGAAACUUAAAUAAUUUGGCGGUAUUUUAGUUCAUUUAGAGGAAUCUGUUUAAUAAUUGAUAAUCCACGAAUAAAUUUACUUAAUUUAUUAUUUUGUAUAUCGUUGUUAAAAAAAUAUUUUUUAUUAAAAAUAAUAUUUUAAAAUUUUCAUAUAAAAUUAAUUCAGAUCAAGAUGCAGAUUAUAAUUAAGAAUAUAAUGGAUUACAAUAAAUAAAUUUAAAUGAAUAAUAUUUUUUAAUAAAUAUUUGAAGGUGGAUUUAAAUGUAAUUUUAAUUAGUUUAUUAAAAUGAUUAUAUAUUAAAAUAUGUACAUAUUGCCCGUCGCUUUCAUUAAUAAAUUGGAAUAAGUCGUAACAAAGUAGAGGUACUGGAAAGUGUUUCUAGAAAGAA